rnacentral:rRNA from 1 species
UACGAAGGGGGCUAGCGUUGCUCGGAAUUACUGGGCGUAAAGCGCACGUAGGCGGCUUUCUAAGUCGGGGGUGAAAUCCUGGAGCUCAACUCCAGAACUGCCUUUGAUACUGAGGAGCUCGAGUCCGGGAGAGGUGAGUGGAACUGCGAGUGUAGAGGUGAAAUUCGUAGAUAUUCGCAAGAACACCAGUGGCGAAGGCGGCUCACUGGCCCGGUACUGACGCUGAGGUGCGAAAGCGUGGGGAGCAAACAGG